AUACGGAGGAUGCGAGCGUUAUCCGGAUUUAUUAGGUUUAAAGGGUGUGUAGGCGGAAGACUAAGUCAGUGGUGAAAUCUCUCGGCUUAACCGGGAAACUGCCAUAGAUACUGGUUUUCUUGAGUACAGUUGAAGUAGGCGGAAUGUGUAAUGUAGCGGUGAAAUGCUUAGAUAUUACACAGAACACCGAUUGCGAAGGCAGCUUGCUAAGCUGUUACUGACGCUGAUGCACGAAAGCGUGGGGAUCGAACAGGAUUAGAUACCCUGGUAGUCCACGCCGUAAACGAUGAUUGCUCGUUGUUGGCGAUAUACCGCCAGCGACUGAGCGAAAGCAUUAAGUAAUCCACCUGGGGAGUACGGCGGCAACGCUGAA
rnacentral:rRNA from 1 species